rnacentral:rRNA from 1 species
GAUGAACGCUGGCGGCGUGCUUAACACAUGCAAGUCGAACGGAAAGGCUCCUGCUUGCAGGGGUACUCGAGUGGCGAACGGGUGAGUAACACGUGGGUGAUCUGCCCUGCACUUCGGGAUAAGCCUGGAAACUGGGUCUAAUACCGGAUAGGACCACAUUUUGGAUGGGGUGGUGGAAAGUUUUUCGGUGUGGGAUGAGCUCGCGGCCUAUCAGCUUGUUGGUGGGGUAAUGGCCUACCAAGGCGUCGACGGGUAGCCGGCCUGAGAGGGUGUACGGCCACAUUGGGACUGAGAUACGGCCCAGACUCCUACGGGAGGCAGCAGUGGGGAAUAUUGCACAAUGGGCGCAAGCCUGAUGCAGCGACGCCGCGUGGGGGAUGACGGCCUUCGGGUUGUAAACUCCUUUCGCUAGGGACGAAGCGCAAGUGACGGUACCUGGAGAAGAAGCACCGGCUAACUACGUG